GAAACACAAAGGCAUCUUUUUGUUUUUAAAAGACCUUCUUACGAAGGUAUGCUUAAAGAGGGGCUUGCGCCACAUUAGUUAGUUGGUAGAGUAAAAGCCUACCAAGACGAUGAUGUGUAGCUGGACUGAGAGGUUGAACAGCCACAUUGGGACUGAGACACGGCCCAAACUCCUACGGGAGGCAGCAGUAGGGAAUUUUCGGCAAUGGAGGAAACUCUGACCGAGCAACGCCGCGUGAACGAUGAAGUAUUUCGGUAUGUAAAGUUCUUUUAUUGAAGAAGAAAAAGUAGUGGAAAAACUAUAUUGACGUUAUUCAAUGAAUAAGCCCCGGCUAACUAUGUGCCAGCAGCCGCGGUAAGACAUAGGGGGCGAGCGUUAUCCGGAAUUAUUGGGCGUAAAGGGUGCGUAGGCUGUUAGAUAAGUCUAUAAUUUAAUUUCAGUGCUUAACGCUGUCUUGUUAUAGAAACUGUCUUGACUAGAGUGAGAUAGAGGCAAGCGGAAUUCCAUGUGUAGCGGUAAAAUGUGUAAAUAUAUGGAGGAACACCAGAAGCGUAGGCGGCUUGCUGGGUCUUUACUGACGCUGAGGCACGAAAGCGUGGGUAGCAAACAGGAUUAGAUACCCUGGUAGUCCACGCCGUAAACGAUGAGUACUAAGUGUCGGGGUAAAACUCGGUACUGAAGUUAACACAUUAAGUACUCCGCCUGAGUAGUACGUACGCAAGUAUGAAACUUAAAGGAAUUGACGGGACUCCGCACAAGCGGUGGAUCAUGUUGUUUAAUUCGAAGAUACACGAAAAAUCUUACCAGGUCUUGACAUACUCUGCAAAGCUAUAGAAAUAUAGUGGAGGUUAUCAGGGAUACAGGUGGUGCAUGGUUGUCGUCAGUUCGUGUCGUGAGAUGUUAGGUUAAGUCCUAAAACGAACGCAACCCUUGUCGUUAAUUGCCAGCACAUAAUGGUGGGGACUUUAACGAGACUGCCAAUUAAACAUUGGAGGAAGGUGAGGAUUACGUCAAAUCAUCAUGCCCCUUAUGAUCUGGGCUACAAACGUGAUACAAUGGCUGUGACAAAGAGUAGCUGAAACGCGAGUUUUUAGCCAAUCUCAAAAAAGCAGUCUCAGUUCGGAUUGAAGUCUGUAACUCGACUUCAUGAAGUUGGAAUCGCUAGUAAUCGCGAAUCAGCAUGUCGCGGUGAAUACGUUCUCGGGGUUUGUACACACCGCCCGUCAAACCACGAAAGUUAGCAAUGCCCGAAAGCAGUAGCUUAACUUCGCAAGAAGAGGGAACUGUCUAAGGUAGGGUUGAUGAUUGGG
rnacentral:rRNA from 1 species